rnacentral:lncRNA from 1 species
UGCUCGUGGUAGUAGCAAAACGUGCUCUUGUUCUUCGUGGGCUUGUAAUCCGGGUGUCUCGGCUUUGGCUUCGGUAUCAAGUGUGCUAUGCUGGGGUAAAUGGCCAUGCAUGUGGCGUUUAAGGAUGUGUAUGCCUCAUACCUCGGGGUAAGGGCUAUCAUGACACGUGUUUGACCCACUAUGUUGACUGCCUAGGGUUGGGGAUUAUCAUGGCAAUACCCUUGGUUAUCGCGGUAGUGUCUCUUACUCCUUUUACUAAAAUGAGACUGGUAAGAAUGGAAAUCUUUCCUUUUGCCAUGAGAUUGAUAUGUCUGUUGACUUGGCAAAG